GGUAGCACCGGACCACCGGACGUCCAUUUCAUGUCCAGUACUGGCUGGUGCUGGCUGGUACUGGCCAUGCUUGGCCACGCCUAGCAUUUGACUUCCAGGCCACGGACAUCUAGGCAAAUGUAUAAACAGUCUCAGUUUGUGGUUGAUACAUUAUUUAGCUUCUUCAUUUCACCACCACAGUGCGGAGCAGUCCUUUUGUCAUUUCUCAGAAAUUUGUCAUUUCUAAAUUGUAUAACCUGUCAGUUUCUAUUUGUGACAUUUGGACGCCACAAAGUGAAUAAUUAUUUUAAAGGCUACGUGUAGUGAUAUUGUAUUGGGAAGUAGAUAUAUGAUUAUACCACGACCUGACAGAGUGUGCAAUGGAAUGGAUUAAGUGAUCUGUAUAUAAUUAAUUGAAGCAUAAGAUAAUGCGGUGUGAUCUAUGCUAGACUACAUUUACAACAAGAAGGAGAACACGUAACAUCAUCAAUUAAAGAAGUUUUUGGUUGAUUCCCAAUAAGAGGAAACAAAGGGUUGAAUUGCUUAUCUGUUAACUGGUUAUUGAAAUUGCCCAGUUAAAAUACCACGACAUGACAGAGUGUGCAAUGGAAGGAAUUAGAUAAUUGGAGCAUAAGAUGAUGCAGUGAGGUCUACGUUAGACAAUGUACUAAAAAUUUGCUGGUCGAAGCAUAAGAUGAUGUGGUGUGAUGUACGUUAGGCUAUGUAUAUAUAAAUUUGCUGGUAUUUAUAUUAAUUAAUAAAUUGAACAAAUAAAUGUUUGUAAUUAUAUGAAUAAAUGUUUGUAAUCAUAAAA